GUUCCUCAGAACUAAACAGCAGAGGCGGUUUUCCAGUUUAGAAGAUAAGCUGAGUGUUUCCAGUCUCCCUGCAGUCAAAGGUGGAUCUUUGAACCACGUUUUAAUUGAAGAAAGUUGCUUAUUUGUGGAUUCUGCACUUUUCUUUCAGAGACACAGCCAGCCAGGUGGACAGCAGGUGAGCCAGAGUCGGAAGUGACACGUGGCAGAAGCUACUCAUUAGCCAGGAGUCAAAACAACAACAUCAGAUCAAAGUUUAAAGUGAGAACGUG
ensembl:lncRNA